rnacentral:rRNA from 1 species
UACGAAGGGGGCUAGCGUUGUUCGGAAUCACUGGGCGUAAAGGGCGCGUAGGCGGCUUUGUAAGUCCGGGGGUGAAAGCCUGUGGCUCAACCACAGAAUUGCCUUCGAUACUGCAUGGCUUGAGACCGGAAGAGGUAAGUGGAACUGCGAGUGUAGAGGUGAAAUUCGUAGAUAUUCGCAAGAACACCAGUGGCGAAGGCGGCUUACUGGUCCGGUUCUGACGCUGAGGCGCGAAAGCGUGGGGAGCAAACAGG